AGAUUACGAUUCAGUUUGCUAUCACCUUCCAAACUGAGCUCAGCACCCGCAUUAUCGCUUAUCAAAACCUUUUACGGCGAAGGUCAAUCCCCAUUUGUGGGCUGGUUCUAUUUUAUCCAGUGUCAAAUAAGACGGUUUGGUGCCCACAGUAUGACAUACUAGUUAGUCAAUCACCACUGCCGCCUAUAGUUCAAGUUCAAGCACAGUCCCGCAUCCACAGCCGGGAUAUAGCAGUAUAGUCCUACUGAGGCACAACCGCACACGUGAAAGCUGACAAUGUUGGAUGUGGUCACCCGUCCAGCCCGAUCGUUGAUCGACCAGCUUACAAUUUUAGUGAAACUACCGGCGGCCACAAUCUAUAUUAUCACCAAAGGUGUAUUCAUAAUAGUCAAUACGCUAACAAAAUUUGGCCGAAUGAUAAGUCAGUGAUAUACCGUGACCGAUGAGUGAUUGAGUGAGACAUCGACCGCACCAAUAACCAAAGUCAUUUCAAUGAACAUUUCGCCCUAGAUUAGAUACGAUACGAUGCCAUGUUAGUGGAUGGAGGAUGAGUGAUACUUGCGGUUUAUGCUAAAGUGUAUUUUAUUGCUUCCUAAUGACUUGUGCCAGAGCUUAUUUUGUGAUUGGAAUUUAUUUUAAAUGUAGAAAAAAUAAAAUGUAACGAAAAAAA